AAAAGUAAGAUUUGUUUAGGGCUAGCCAUUACUUCCAUGUCAUGUUUAGAGUGUCAUAUGAGUCCAGCUGGGAUACUAUCGAUAGUACCAAGCAUUUGAUGCUAUCGAAUUUUUCGCCGUUAGAUUUAACUCUUUGACUAUUUUCAUCCGUUAGAUUAUACUAUUCAAUAAAUAACUCACUCAACCCUAGAGGGCUCACAUCAUUCUAAUCGUACAUUUUUUUUUAUCUAAGGGCCGAAAACUUAAUAGCACCAAUAGCUUAGUACUAUUGAUCGUAUUCCAGCCUAGUUCUUGUCACAUGCAUUCACCAACUUGCAUAUAUAAUAAAUUCAA
rnacentral:lncRNA from 1 species